GUGGCUUUAUCCCAUUACUCCGUCUUUCCCCCUUUUUCUCUCUCUCUACGCCCUAAUCCUCCCCGCCGAGGACCACCACCCCUCUCCAAUUCGUCUCCUUCGAUCCGAUCUUCGCCUCUGGCAAGCUCAUCGUCAUCGCCGCCGCCAACGACGACUUCCUCCCCGCCCUCUCUCAGCCUCUAAUUUUCGAUCCGCUCUCCGAAAAAUGGACCCUCGGCCUGCAGCUCGCCUCCGCCCGCCGCUGGUGCGUUGCCGGCGCCUCUCGCGGCGCCUCUCGCGGCGCCGUCUUCGUCGUCAGCGGGAUCAGCUCACAAUACAACAGAGUUAUGAUUUUACUUCAAUUGGAGCUAUUUUUGCUGCAACAGAUAUUGUUUGUAUGCUGCUAGACCAACUAUCUCAGGAUAAUUGGUCUAGUGUGUUGUUUAAAAUGGGUGGUGGGAUUGUUCUGAGUCUUGGCAAUCUGGCGACGCAGUGUGCUUGGGCAUUCGUUGGUUUGUCAGUGACUCAGGUUAAUUAUCACAUCUAGCAUAACUGUUGUCAUAGGAACGACGUUGAAUUAUUUCUUGGACGGAAAAAUCAACAAUGCUGCUGACAACAAAGCUAAGCUUGCUAUCUAUUCCAAUGAUAGCAAAUAUGCAGCUGUUGGCAAGAAUGCUCAUGCUUCUAAAGAAACUAAUUGAAACAAAGGUUUAGAGAAUGGAGGCGACAAAGCAAAGUAUGGCACUACAGAUAUUCUCAAAAGAGUUCGAAAAAGUCGAAAAUGUAGAUCACAAUUUGCUCGGUUUUAUAGACUUUGGCUCUUUCUUGUCCUUCCCACACCAAACUCAAUCCCAUCCUUUUCUGAAAAUAUGGCUGCAGUGGGACCCGCCAACCCUCGACGCCGUUGAGGCAGAAAAGAUCGAGAAGAUAUUCCAGCCAUUCGAAGAGGAUUUGGAACUCAAGAUUCCAACAGGAGAUGAAUUCAGGUGGCAAGGAAAGUAUGAAGAUUCACCAUAUGCAACUUCCAAGUGAGCCAACAAGAAAAUCAUCAAGUCAAUGGGUUCAACGAUCUUCAGUUCGACUGGAAAUCAUCUCCUUGAUCUCUUCGGCGUUUAUUUGGUUUCGACUGUUUGUGCAGCUUAAGAUCAUUGGUGUUGGGAAAGAUAUGCAUAUGCAAAGGAGAAAACAAGAAAAUGGCACAUUGUAGAAUUUUUUCAUUACAGUUUUUACCCUCCAACUUUUCUACUCUUUGUUUUACUAGUUGCAGAAAAUGGCACAUUGUAGAUUUGUUGAAUGUUAGCACCCUCCAAUUUGUAUGAGAUUUGUUGAAUUUGAAGUUGGUUUGUUGAAUACGUUAAUAGAUGAAUUUCUAUGAUAUUGGAUUGUUAUUGCA